rnacentral:rRNA from 1 species
AUUCCGGUUGAUCCUGCCGGAGGACAUUGCUAUUGGGAUUCGAUUUAGCCAUGCUAGUCGAACGAGUUCAGACUCGUGGCGAAUAGCUCAGUAACACGUGGCCAAGCUCCCCUUCAGUCAGCGAUACCCUCGGGAAACUGAGGUUAACAGCUGAUACAAAACGCCAGCUGGAAUGCGGCGUUUCAGAAAGACAUCGCUGAAGGAUGCGGCUGCGGCCGAUUAGGUAGACGGUGGGGUAACGGCCCACCGUGCCAGUAAUCGGUACGGGUGAUGAGAGUCAGAGCCCGGAGACGGAAUCUGAGACAAGAUUCCGGGCCCUACGGGGCGCAGCAGGCGCGAAACCUUUACACUGCACGGAAGUGCGAUAGGGGAAUCCCAAGUGCGAGGGCAUAUUAGCCCUCGCUUUUCUCGACUGUAAGGUGGUCGACGAAUAAGAGCUGGGCAAGACCGGUGCCAGCCGCCGCGGUAAUACCGGCAGCUCAAGUGAUGUCCCAUAUUAUUG